rnacentral:rRNA from 1 species
UACGAAGGGGGCUAGCGUUGUUCGGAAUUACUGGGCGUAAAGGGCGCGUAGGCGGUACUUCAAGUCAGGCGUGAAAGCCCCGGGCUCAACCUGGGAACCGCGCUUGAGACUGGAGAACUAGAGUUCGGGAGAGGAUGGUGGAAUUCCCAGUGUAGAGGUGAAAUUCGUAGAUAUUGGGAAGAACACCGAUGGCGAAGGCAGCCAUCUGGACCGACACUGACGCUGAGGCGCGAAAGCGUGGGGAGCAAACAG